rnacentral:rRNA from 1 species
AUUGAACGCUGGCGGCAUGCCUAACACAUGCAAGUCGAACGGCAGCACGGGUGCUUGCACCUGGUGGCGAGUGGCGAACGGGUGAGUAAUACAUCGGAACAUGUCCUGUAGUGGGGGAUAGCCCGGCGAAAGCCGGAUUAAUACCGCAUACGAUCCUCGGAUGAAAGCGGGGGACCUUCUGGCCUCGCGCUGUUGGGUUGGCAGAUGGCUGAUUAGCUAGUUAGUGGGGUAAAGGCCUACCAAGGCGAGGGCCAGUAACGGGUCUGAGAGGGCGGCUAGCCACACUGGGAGUGAGACACGGCCGACACACUUGCGGUAGGCCGCAGUGGGGAAUCUUGCACGAGGGGGGAGAGCCUGAUCCAGCACUGCCGGGUGAGUCAAGAAGGCGUUCGGGUUGGAGAGCACUGUUGUCCGGAGAGAAAUACUUCGCUUUAAUCCAGGCGGGGGAUGACGGUACCGGAAGAAUAAGCACCGGCUAACUACGUG